UAGGGAAUCUUCGCGCAAUGGGGGCAACCCUGACCGAGCAACGCCGCGUGAGUGAAGAAGGUUUUCGGAUCGUAAAGCUCUGUUGUAAGUCAAGAACGAGUGUGAGAGUGGAAAGUUCACACUGUGACGGUAGCUUACCAGAAAGGGACGGCUAACUACGUGCCAGCAGCCGCGGUAAUACGUAGGUCCCGAGCGUUGUCCGGAUUUAUUGGGCGUAAAGCGAGCGCAGGCGGUUUGAUAAGUCUGAAGUUAAAGGCUGUGGCUCAACCAUAGUUCGCUUUGGAAACUGUCAAACUUGAGUGCAGAAGGGGAGAGUGGAAUUCCAUGUGUAGCGGUGAAAUGCGUAGAUAUAUGGAGGAACACCGGUGGCGAAAGCGGCUCUCUGGUCUGUAACUGACGCUGAGGCUCGAAAGCGUGGGGAGCGAACAGGAUUAGAUACCCUGGUAGUCCACGCCGUAAACGAUGAGUGCUAGGUGUUGGAUCCUUUCCGGGAUUCAGUGCCGCAGCUAACGCAUUAAGCACUCCGCCUGGGGAGUACGACCGCAAGGUUG
rnacentral:rRNA from 1 species